rnacentral:rRNA from 1 species
CUACCCUUGACAUGCCAGGAACCUUGCAGAGAUGCGAGGGUGCCCGAAAGGGAGCCUGGACACAGGUGCUGCAUGGCCGUCGUCAGCUCGUGUCGUGAGAUGUUGGGUUAAGUCCCGCAACGAGCGCAACCCUUGCCAUUAGUUGCUACGAAAGGGCACUCUAAUGGGACUGCCGGUGACAAACCGGAGGAAGGUGGGGAUGACGUCAGGUCCUCAUGGCCCUUAUGGGUAGGGCUACACACGUCAUACAAUAGCCGGUACAGAGGGCUGCCAAAGCGCGAGCUGGAGCCAAUCCCAGAAAACCGGUCGUAGUCCGGAUCGCAGUCUGCAACUCGACUGCGUGAAGUCGGAAUCGCUAGUAAUCGCGGAUCAGAAUGUCGCGGUGAAUACGUUCCCGGGUCUUGUACACACCGCCCGUCACACCAUGGGAGCGGGUUCUGCCAGAAGUGGUUGGCCUAACCGCAAGGAGGGCGUCCACCACGGCAGGGUUCGUGACUGGGGUG